rnacentral:sRNA from 1 species
GCAUGGCUUCCCAGUUCAUCCUCUCCCCAUUCUGUGGCUUGCCAUUCAUCAUCCCGUGAAGUUUUCCCUCUUCCUGAAAUUGUAACCUAGGCUUCUUUUAAUGCUCGUAUUCUGUUGCUUAUAAUAGGGACCAGCAGCACAAACACUGUUGGGGCAACAGUGAACAGCCAAGCCGCCCAAGCUCAGCCUCCUGCCAUGACGUCCAGCAGGAAGGGCACAUUCACAGAUGACUUGCACAAGUUGGUAGACAAUUGGGCCCGAGAUGCCAUGAAUCUCUCAGGCAGGAGAGGAAGCAAAGGGCACAUGAAUUAUGAGGGCCCUGGAAUGGCAAGGAAGUUCUCUGCACCUGGGCAACUGUGCAUCUCCAUGACCUCGAACCUGGGUGGCUCUGCCCCCAUCUCUGCAGCAUCAGCUACCUCUCUAGGUCACUUCACCAAGUCUAUGUGCCCCCCACAGCAGUAUGGCUUUCCAGCUACCCCAUUUGGCACUCAAUGGAGUGGGACGGGUGGCCCAGCACCACAGCCACUUGGCCAGUUCCAACCUGUGGGAACUGCCUCCUUGCAGAAUUUCAACAUCAGCAAUUUGCAGAAAUCCAUCAGCAACCCCCCAGGCUCCAACCUGCGGACCACUUAGACCUAGAGACAUUAACUGAAUAGAUCUGGGGGCAGGAGAUGGAAUGCUGAGGGGGUGGGUGGGGGGUGGGAAGUAGCCUAUAUACUAACUACUAGUGCUGCAUUUAACUGGUUAUUUCUUGCCAGAGGGGAAUGUUUUUAAUACUGCAUUGAGCCCUCAGAAUGGAGAGUCUCCCCCGCUCCAGUUAUUGGAGUGGGAGAGGAAGGAAAGAACAGCUUUUUUGUCAAGGGGCAGCUUCAGAC